rnacentral:rRNA from 1 species
CAGAUCACGUAGGGUGUUAGUCGUUGAACAAACGAACCUUUGACAGCUGCUGCGCCGUCGGGGUACCCCGAUCCAACAUCGAGGUCGUAGGUCUUCUUGUUAAUAUGGACUUUUGAGAAGGUGGCGCUGUUAUCCCCGGGGUAGCUUAUUUCAUUAAUCAGUGUGACUGGGUCAGUUUUAAUAUCUUAGGCUUGUUGGCCUUGGCGGUGUUAGAGGUUUAAUUUUUCUAAAGUUGUCCCAACUAAAGUUAUCGUUUAGUUUGCGUAAACGGGUUAUUAAGUUCCACGGGGUCUUUUUGUCUUGCUUUAAUAUACCAGCUUUUGUACUGGUAGUUCAAUUUCAUUGGCUGGUCUUAGGAGACAGGUUUUCUCUCGUGCUGCCUUUCAUACGAGUCCCCAUUUAAAGGACAAAUGAUUGUGCUACCUUUGCACGGUUUUGGUGCCGCGGCCGUUUAGGGGUCCACAGGGCAGGCGCUACUUCUAAUAGUUGUUGGGCUAGAAGCUAUGUUUUU